UAAUACGAAGGGGGCUAGCGUUGUUCGGAAUUACUGGGCGUAAAGGGCGUGUAGGCGGCCCGUUAAGACAGGUGUGAAAUUCCUGGGCUCAACCCAGGACGUGCGCCUGUGACUGGCGGGCUUGAGUCCGGGAGAGGAUGGUGGAACUCCCAGUGUAGAGGUGAAAUUCGUAGAUAUUGGGAAGAACACCCGUGGCGAAGGCGGCCAUCUGGACCGGUACUGACGCUAAGGCGCGACAGCGUGGGGAGCAAACAGGAUUAGAUACCCUGGUAGUCCACGCCGUAAACGAUGAGUGCUAGACGUUGGGAAGCCUAGCUUUUCAGUGUCGCAGCUAACGCAUUAAGCACUCCGCCUGGGGAGUACGGCCGCAAGGUUG
rnacentral:rRNA from 1 species